rnacentral:ncRNA from 1 species
AUCGGCAAACCUGAUGAAAGUCUGGGACGCAAAGCUACAGGGCCUGUAAAAUGGCAGCCAGUUG